UACGUAGGUGACAAGCGUUUGUCCGGAUUUACUGGGCGUAAAGAGCGCGCAGGCGGUCGAUCAAGUCGAGUGUGAAAGCCCCCGGCUCAACUGGGGAGGGUCAUUCGAUACUGAUCGACUCGAAGGCAGGAGAGGGUAGUGGAAUUCCCGGUGUAGUGGUGAAAUGCGUAGAUAUCGGGAGGAACACCAGUGGCGAAGGCGAACUACCUGGCCUGUUCUUGACGCUGAGGCGCGAAAGCUAGGGGAGCAACGGGG
rnacentral:rRNA from 1 species